rnacentral:rRNA from 1 species
UACGAAGGGGGGCUAGCGUUGCUCGGAAUUAUUGGGCGUAAAGGGUGCGUAGGCGGUUUGGUAAGUCUGAUGUGAAAUCUAUGGGCUCAACUCGGAGUCUGCAUCAGAAACUGCCGUGCUGGAGUGUGGGAGAGGUGAGUGGAAUUCCCGGUGUAGCGGUGAAAUGCGUAGAGAUCGGGAGGAACACCUGCGGCGAAAGCGGCUCACUGGACCAUAACUGACGCUGAUGCACGAAAGCUAGGGGAGCAAACAGG